GAUGAACGCUGGCGGCGUGCUUAACACAUGCAAGUCGAACGGAAAGGCCCAAGCUUGCUUGGGUACUCGAGUGGCGAACGGGUGAGUAACACGUGGGUGAUCUGCCCUGCACUUCGGGAUAAGCCUGGGAAACUGGGUCUAAUACCGGAUAGGACGAUGGUUUGGAUGCCAUUGUGGAAAGUUUUUUCGGUGUGGGAUGAGCUCGCGGCCUAUCAGCUUGUUGGUGGGGUAAUGGCCUACCAAGGCGUCGACGGGUAGCCGGCCUGAGAGGGUGUACGGCCACAUUGGGACUGAGAUACGGCCCAGACUCCUACGGGAGGCAGCAGUGGGGAAUAUUGCACAAUGGGCGCAAGCCUGAUGCAGCGACGCCGCGUGGGGGAUGACGGCCUUCGGGUUGUAAACUCCUUUCACUAGGGACGAAGCGUUUUUGUGACGGUACCUGGAGAAGAAGCACCGGCUAACUACGUG
rnacentral:rRNA from 1 species